AAGAACAUCACAAUAAGACUAGCUAGAUACUUCAAUUUCUUUGCUAAUGGCUUUUUCGCGUAGCUUAGUGCCCAAAACCAUGCUAAUAUUUCCCAGCUUCAAGCCAUUUCUGCUCAAGACAGUGAUAGCCAUGAGAUGCAUAAACACAACAAGUAGGCCACCACCAAGGCCACCCAUAAACAUUGAACCACCACAAAACAAUGAUUACAAAGACAAGAAAGAGACUAUGACGACAGAGGAGAAGAGUAACACAAACCUCCAAGAAGAUAAUUCAAAGAUCAAAACAAAUUAACUAGGAAUCUUGGUUGCUAAAGAUCAUAAUAAGUCAUUUGUACUUGGUCUAAAUUAGUUAGUCAAGUACAAAAUGCUUUUAUUAUUAGUGAAACUAGUAGCAUGAAAGUGGUCCUUUUUCCUCCCAACAUAUUAAAAGUAGUAUGAUAUUUUAUUUUGUAGUAGAUGCUUGUGUGGUAAAAUUUACAAAUAGCCACUUUUCAGCUCUUGUUGAAAAAUAAUCAAUGUCAUGGAGUUUUAAAUUUCAUAAAUAUAACUUCAGGACACUUGCACGGAGUUUCACCAGUAAAAUUUAAAAUUCCAUGACAAUGAUUAUUUUUAAAAACAUAACCGAAAAGGGCAAGUGAGGUGCUAUUUCUACGGUGUGCUUGUAUUGUCCUUGUAUUUCCUUUUUUUUUUUUUGGUUAUCAUGUUAGGGGUCUAUUUGUUCGUAUACAAAUUAUGUGGGGAUUGUAAUAUAAUGAUUGUAUGUGCUAUUAAUGGAGUCUCUACUUGGUUAUCA